ACGGAAGGCAGCAGUGGGGAAUAUUGCACAAUGGGGGGAACCCUGAUGCAGCAACGCCACGUGUGGGAAGAAGCAUUUCGGUGUGUAAACCACUGUCGUGAGGGAAUAAUGCUUGGCUCCGGCCAAGUUGAAUGUACCUCGAAAGGAAGCACCGGCAAACUUCGUGCCAGCAGCCGCGGUAAUACGAGGGGUGCAAGCGUUGUUCGGAAUCACUGGGCGUAAAGGGAGCGUAGGCGGAGACGCAAGCAGUCUGUACAAUACCGGGGCCCAACCCCGGACCUGCAGACUGGACUGUGUCUCUUGGAUAGUUCAGGGGCAGGCGGAAUUCCUGGUGUAGCGGUGGAAUGCGUAGAGAUCAGGAAGAACACCGAUGGCGAAGGCAGCCUGCUGGGGACUCAUCGACGCUGAGGCUCGAAAGUGCGGGUAGCAAACAGGAUUAGAUACCCUGGUA
rnacentral:rRNA from 1 species